rnacentral:rRNA from 1 species
UCCCUAUGGGGGGCAGCAGUGAGGAAUAUUGGUCAAUGGGCGGGAGCCUGAACCAGCCAAGCCGCGUGAAGGAAGAAGGCGCCAGGCGUCGUAAACUUCUUUUGUCGGGGAACAAAGGGCGCCACGCGUGGCGUUGUGAGUGUACCCGAAGAAAAAGCAUCGGCUAACUCCGUGCCAGCAGCCGCGGUAAUACGGAGGAUCCGAGCGUUAUCCGGAUUCAUUGGGUUUAAAGGGUGCGUAGGUUGUUUUAUAAGUUAGCGGUGAAAUACCGAUGCUCAACAUCGGGGCUGCCGCUAAUACUGUAG